AAAUUGAAGAGUUUGAUCAUGGCUCAGAUUGAACGCUGGCGGCAGGCCUAACACAUGCAAGUCGAACGGUAGCACAGAGAGCUUGCUCUCGGGUGACGAGUGGCGGACGGGUGAGUAAUGUCUGGGAAACUGCCCGAUGGAGGGGGAUAACUACUGGAAACGGUAGCUAAUACCGCAUAACGUCGCAAGACCAAAGUGGGGGACCUUCGGGCCUCACACCAUCGGAUGUGCCCAGAUGGGAUUAGCUAGUAGGUGGGGUAACGGCUCACCUAGGCGACGAUCCCUAGCUGGUCUGAGAGGAUGACCAGCCACACUGGAACUGAGACACGGUCCAGACUCCUACGGGAGGCAGCAGUGGGGAAUAUUGCACAAUGGGCGCAAGCCUGAUGCAGCCAUGCCGCGUGUAUGAAGAAGGCCUUCGGGUUGUAAAGUACUUUCAGCGAGGAGGAAGGCGUUGUGGUUAAUAACCACAGCGA
rnacentral:rRNA from 2 species